GUAUGCAGUCACUGUAAAUAAGAAUUUGUUCUUAACUGACUUGCCUAAUAAACGUUCUUUGACUGAUAAUGUAAACUGGUUUUCAGUGACAAUUAUGGAAACAUCUUCUGAACUCCAUUGUAAAUAAAGGCUCAGCAGAAACAAAGUGCAAAAACGUUGAACUCCGUAACCUGGCUGGGGACGAGAUUGAGAUCUCAGUUAUCUGUCAACACUGAAUUUAAUCUGGUUUGCAAAUGUUUUGACUAAUAUAGAUGGGUGUGAGCCAUCAGUAGGCUACCUCUUCAGGUUUCUAUGGGGAGUAGAGGCCAACUCAGUGAUUUACUACGCAAUCUCUAGCAGAAGAUCAACUGGUUCUACCUCUGGUUAAAUAGGAGAGGCCGAAUGUAUUCCCUGCAGAAACAGUCGGUUUCAAUGGGUCAGAUUAGCAGAAUCUCUCCUAGUGCUCAAAACGUGUGUAAUUCCCUCCGUUAGAAUAGUGGCUGAUUGACUGAUGAUGAAUUGAGUGUCUUGUCAACUAUAGAAUUAUGAAUUUAGUACGGGUUGCAAAUAUUUACUAAAUGAUUGUUCAGGCAAUGUUUACAUAUGAGAUUCAGUGUACUGAUGAACAAUGCUUCAUAACCCAGAGUCUUACUUAUAGGUGAGCUCUUCAUACAACAGCCCAUGUCAGAACAUUUGCAAAUCUAUCAAUGGUGACAGAUGGAAAGGUAGCCAUUUUCACCAUCAUUCUCAUUAUAAUUAUCACAAUAAAGAGGGAAUAGGGAGGUCUGAACAGGUUGAAGUUGUAUACAGAGGGUACUUUAUCUGAAAUAAUGUCACAUUCAUUCAUGCCCUCACUAAAUGAUGCUUUAAUAUUAUGCCUGCCUGCCACGUCUUCACUCAGACAAUCAUAUUCACACGAUCCCUCUGGUUGAAUACAUGUCAAAUCACAUUUGUCAAGAUGUGACCUUUGUGAGGAUGAUUUUAUAAUGUACAAUAUGGACAGUCGUGUAGCAUUGGACAGAUGCCACCUGGCCAAUGUGGACCCUUGUCAAUGUCACCAGAAAGAAGGGACACUGCUCCACUGUGCUGCCAUGUGGUCUGUUCUGGUUCUAAAUCCAUGGAUCUUUUCAGAUGGACAUUAGAAACUCAACGGUGGUUCCUCUUGGGGUGUUCAUAUCACCACCUCAUUCAUUAACUCAUGUGUUCUAUUAAGGGGAACGUUUGUUGUCAACUGCAUGAGUUUUGGUUGGUGAUUUUCCAGUUCUGUGUUUUUAACAAGGUGGGAGUGGAGGGUGGUCCCAUAAUGAGUGUUUCCUGCUGUGUGGAUUACUGGCUCCUCCUCAGUAUUGUUGUGGUAACUAACACACCCAGACACAGUAGUGUUGGGGGAUUAUGGUUCCUGUGGUGAUGUGACCCGGUCUCCAUUCUCCUGCCACAGCUUUGGAAUUCAUCAACAUAUUUUAAAAGGCUCUCAUGAAUCUCGGUCAACAGUAGACCAUUUGGUCCCCCGUGAUAUCUGUACAAACUGGGUGUUAUGAAAUGUUCGAACGUCAUGUUCACCCAUACAAGAUGUGCAGAAUGCAGAAGUCAAACGCCAAGCAAUUUGCAGUGCACUUGAGUAACACAAGAACUUCUCAUGGACCCUCAUUUACAUCUCUCUAAUCCGGCUUUUUAUAUAGAUAUUUCUGUACUGUGUUUAUUUCCCCUGUUGAAAUGUGUAUUUAUAUGUUUAAUAAAAUAAGGUAUGAUCUGCUAA